UACGUAGGGGGCGAGCGUUGUCCGGAGUUACUGGGCGUAAAGCGCACGCAGGCGGUCUGUUAAGUUUGGAGUGACAGUUGGUGGCUUAACUGCCAAAGUGCUUCGAAAACUGACAGACUUGAGGGCUUCAGAGGGACACGGAAUCCGGGUGGAGUGGUGAAUGCGUAGAAGAUCCGGAGGAACACCAAAGGCGAAAGGCAGUGUCCUGGGGAGUACCUG
rnacentral:rRNA from 1 species